rnacentral:rRNA from 1 species
AUGGCCUCCCGACGGCUUCGGAGUUGGCGGCCGCGAGGAACUAGUGGCUGGGCUACGCGCCGGACCUCCGUGUUGCGGUGGAGCAUGGUGACCGGGGUGUCGGGGAGAGGCGCCGGUCUCUUCUCCGCUACCGCCUCCGUCAAUAUAUCUCCAUCUCCAUAUUGUUCCUCAUUGACAUGUAAUGGACUGCAAGCUUCUAUGUGUUGUGACAUCGGUAAUGGUCAGACAAGCACUGGUGCCUGGUUCUCAUGGAAUGAGAUCAACCCGUACGACGGGAUCCUGAACCUCAAACCACCUGACUUCACUACCCUCCUAACCAUCAUGAACGGUGAAGGAUAUUGGUCUGAGGUUGCGGCGCGCCAUGGCAGCAUCGCUCACCUCCAGGAUGCUGCAUUUGCCCCACUAUUGCACUUCAUGAACAACCUCGGGCCGCAUAACGCCGAAGACGACCCCUACAACGAGCUCAAUGUGUUGCUCAAGGAAGAUGUUGGCGAGAAGAAUGGUAGAGAUGCAUGUGCCACCGAUGAGGAUUUGGCUAUGGAAUUUCUUGUGGAUGAUUCUGAAUGA